rnacentral:tRNA from 1 species
GGAUAGGUCGUCCAGUAGUUAGGACCUUGGUUUGUGAGACCAAAGACGCGGGUGCGAAUCCCGUCCAAUCCCCCA